rnacentral:rRNA from 1 species
GGUUAAGCGACUAAGCGUACACGGUGGAUGCCCUGGCAGUCAGAGGCGAUGAAGGACGUGCUAAUCUGCGAUAAGCGCCGGUAAGGUGAUAUGAACCGUUAUAACCGGCGAUUUCCGAAUGGGGAAACCCAGUGUGAUUCGUCACACUAUCAUUAACUGAAUCCAUAGGUUAAUGAGGCGAACCGGGGGAACUGAAACAUCUAAGUACCCCGAGGAAAAGAAAUCAACCGAGAUUCCCCCAGUAGCGGCGAGCGAACGGGGAGGAGCCCAGAGCCUGAAUCAGCAUGUGUGUUAGUGGAAGCGUCUGGAAAGGUGCGCGAUACAGGGUGACAGCCCCGUACACAAAAGCGCAUGUGCUGUGAGCUCGAUGAGUAGGGCGGGACACGUGGUAUCCUGUCUGAAUAUGGGGGGACCAUCCUCCAAGGCUAAAUACUCCUGACUGACCGAUAGUGAACCAGUACCGUGAGGGAAAGGCGAAAAGAACCCCGGCGAGGGGAGUGAAAAAGAACCUGAAACCGUGUACGUACAAGCAGUGGGAGCACAGGUUUACCUGUGUGACUGCGUACCUUUUGUAUAAUGGGUCAGCGACUUAUAUUCUGUAGCAAGGUUAACCGAAUAGGGGAGCCGGAGGGAAACCGAGUCUUAAUUGGGCGUUAAGUUGCAGGGUAUAGACCCGAAACCCGGUGAUCUAGCCAUGGGCAGGUUGAAGGUUGGGUAACACUAACUGGAGGACCGAACCGACUAAUGUUGAAAAAUUAGCGGAUGACCUGUGGCUGGGGGUGAAAGGCCAAUCAAACCGGGAGAUAGCUGGUUCUCCCCGAAAGCUAUUUAGGUAGCGCCUCGUGAAUUCAUCUCCGGGGGUAGAGCACUGUUUCGGCUAGGGGGCCAUCCCGGCUUACCAACCCGAUGCAAACUGCGAAUACCGGAGAAUGUUAUCACGGGAGACACACGGCGGGUGCUAACGUCCGUCGUGAAGAGGGAAACAACCCAGACCGCCAGCUAAGGUCCCAAAGUCAUGGUUAAGUGGGAAACGAUGUGGGAAGGCCCAGACAGCCAGGAUGUUGGCUUAGAAGCAGCCAUCAUUUAAAGAAAGCGUAAUAGCUCACUGGUCGAGUCGGCCUGCGCGGAAGAUGUAACGGGGCUAAACCAUGCACCGAAGCUGCGGCAGCGAACGUAUCACCCAAGACAACUUUACGGAGUUGACGAUUGACGGAGCGAAGCGACGUCAAAGCGUUCAUUAAAGUCGAGUUGGCUUAGGGAUACGUUCGUUGGGUAGGGGAGCGUUCUGUAAGCCUGUGAAGGUGUGUCGUGAGGCAUGCUGGAGGUAUCAGAAGUGCGAAUGCUGACAUAAGUAACGAUAAAGCGGGUGAAAAGCCCGCUCGCCGGAAGACCAAGGGUUCCUGUCCAACGUUAAUCGGGGCAGGGUGAGUCGACCCCUAAGGCGAGGCCGAAAGGCGUAGUCGAUGGGAAACGGGUUAAUAUUCCCGUACUUGGUGUUACUGCGAAGGGGGGACGGAGAAGGCUAUGUUGGCCGGGCGACGGUUGUCCCGGUUUAAGCGUGUAGGUGUGUGUUCCAGGUAAAUCCGGUUCACUUUAACACUGAGGCGUGACGACGAGGCACUACGGUGCUGAAGCAACAAAUGCCCUGCUUCCAGGAAAAGCCUCUAAGCAUCAGGUAACACGAAAUCGUACCCCAAACCGACACAGGUGGUCAGGUAGAGAAUACCAAGGCGCUUGAGAGAACUCGGGUGAAGGAACUAGGCAAAAUGGUGCCGUAACUUCGGGAGAAGGCACGCUGACACGUAGGUGAAGUGAUUUACUCAUGGAGCUGAAGUCAGUCGAAGAUACCAGCUGGCUGCAACUGUUUAUUAAAAACACAGCACUGUGCAAACACGAAAGUGGACGUAUACGGUGUGACGCCUGCCCGGUGCCGGAAGGUUAAUUGAUGGGGUCAGCGCAAGCGAAGCUCCUGAUCGAAGCCCCGGUAAACGGCGGCCGUAACUAUAACGGUCCUAAGGUAGCGAAAUUCCUUGUCGGGUAAGUUCCGACCUGCACGAAUGGCGUAAUGAUGGCCAGGCUGUCUCCACCCGAGACUCAGUGAAAUUGAACUCGCUGUGAAGAUGCAGUGUACCCGCGGCAAGACGGAAAGACCCCGUGAACCUUUACUAUAGCUUGACACUGAACAUUGAGCCUUGAUGUGUAGGAUAGGUGGGAGGCUUUGAAGUGUGGACGCCAGUCUGCAUGGAGCCGACCUUGAAAUACCACCCUUUAAUGUUUGAUGUUCUAACGUGGACCCGUAAUCCGGGUUGCGGACAGUGUCUGGUGGGUAGUUUGACUGGGGCGGUCUCCUCCUAAAGAGUAACGGAGGAGCACGAAGGUUGGCUAAUCCUGGUCGGACAUCAGGAGGUUAGUGCAAUGGCAUAAGCCAGCUUGACUGCGAGCGUGACGGCGCGAGCAGGUGCGAAAGCAGGUCAUAGUGAUCCGGUGGUUCUGAAUGGAAGGGCCAUCGCUCAACGGAUAAAAGGUACUCCGGGGAUAACAGGCUGAUACCGCCCAAGAGUUCAUAUCGACGGCGGUGUUUGGCACCUCGAUGUCGGCUCAUCACAUCCUGGGGCUGAAGUAGGUCCCAAGGGUAUGGCUGUUCGCCAUUUAAAGUGGUACGCGAGCUGGGUUUAGAACGUCGUGAGACAGUUCGGUCCCUAUCUGCCGUGGGCGCUGGAGAACUGAGGGGGGCUGCUCCUAGUACGAGAGGACCGGAGUGGACGCAUCACUGGUGUUCGGGUUGUCAUGCCAAUGGCACUGCCCGGUAGCUAAAUGCGGAAGAGAUAAGUGCUGAAAGCAUCUAAGCACGAAACUUGCCCCGAGAUGAGUUCUCCCUGAGACUUAGAGUCUCCUGAAGGAACGUUGAAGACGACGACGUUGAUAGGCCGGGUGUGUAAGCGCAGCGAUGCGUUGAGCUAACCGGUACUAAUGAACCGUGAGGCUUAACCUU